rnacentral:rRNA from 1 species
GACAGAGGGGGGGCAAGCGUUGCUCGGAAUUACUGGGGCGUAAAGGGCGCGUAGGCGGGGAUGGCAAGUCGGUCGUGAAAAUCCCCUCGGCUCAACUGAGGGAUCGUCGAUCGAUACUGCCCGUUCUUUGAGGAUUGCAGAGGAGACUGGAAUUCCCGGUGUAGCGGUGAAAUGUGUAGAGAUCCGGGGAGGAACACCGGUGGCGAAGGCGGGGUCUCUGGGGCCCGUUACUGACGCUGAGGAGCGAAAGCGUGGGGGAGCGAACG